rnacentral:rRNA from 1 species
UUGCUCCCAUUUCUCAGCGGCGGACGGGUGAGUAACACGUGGGCAACCUGCCCUACAGACUGGGAUAACUCCGGGAAACCGGAGCUAAUACCGGGUAAUACAUAGCAUCGCAUGAUGCAACGUUGAAAGUUGGCCUUUGGCUAACACUGUAGGAUGGGCCCGCGGCGCAAUAGCUAGUUGGUAAGGUAACGGCUUACCAAGGCCACGAUGCGUAGCCCACCUGAGAGGGUGAUCGGCCACACUGGGACUGAGACACGGCCCAGACUCCUACGGGAGGCAGCAGUAGGGAAUCUUCCGCAAUGGACGAAAGUCUGACGGAGCAACGCCGCGUGAGUGACGAAGGCCUUCGGGUCGUAAAGCUCUGUUGUUAGGGAAGAACAAGUACCGUUCGAAUAGGGCGGUACCUUGACGGUACCUAACCAGAAAGCCACGGCUAACUACGUGCCAGCAGCCGCGGUAAUACGUAGGUGGCAAGCGUUGUCCGGAAUUAUUGGGCGUAAAGCGCGCGCAGGCGGUCUCUUAAGUCUGAUGUGAAAGCCCACGGCUCAACCGUGGAGGGCCAUUGGAAACUGGGGGACUUGAGUGCAGAAGAGGAGAGUGGAAUUCCACGUGUAGCGGUGAAAUGCGUAGAUAUGUGGAGGAACACCAGUGGCGAAGGCGGCUCUCUGGUCUGUAACUGACGCUGAGGCGCGAAAGCGUGGGGAGCGAACAGGAUUAGAUACCCUGGUAGUCCACGCCGUAAACGAUGAGUGCUAGGUGUUGGGGGGCUUCCACCCUCAGUGCUGAAGUUAACACAUUAAGCACUCCGCCCGGGGGAGUACGACCGCAAGGUUGAAACUCAAAGGAAUUGACGGGGGCCC